rnacentral:piRNA from 1 species
CUGGCAGAGAUGGGCAUGCGACAGGCUGU